rnacentral:rRNA from 1 species
AGAGUUUGAUCCUGGCUCAGGAUGAACGCUAGCGGCAGGCCUAAUACAUGCAAGUCAAGGGGCCAGUAAUGGCACCGGCGGACGGGUGCGUAACGCGUACACAACGUACCUUUGGGUGGGGGAUAGCAUCGGGAAACUGGUGGUAAUACCCCAUGGUAUUGGAGAUUGGCAUCAAUUUUCAAUUAAAGACUACGCCCAAAGAUCGGUGUGCGUCUGAUUAGCUAGUUGGUAGGGUAACGGCCUACCAAGGCGACGAUCAGUAGGGGAUGUGAGAGCAUGAUCCCCCACACGGGUACUGAGACACGGACCCGACUCCUACGGGAGGCAGCAGUAAGGAAUAUUGGACAAUGGUCGGAAGACUGAUCCAGCCAUGCCGCGUGAAGGAUGAAGGCGCUCAGCGUUGUAAACUUCUUUUGUACAGGAACAAAAUGCGACCUGCGGGUUGUACUGAGGGUACUGUAAGAAUAAGCACCGGCUAACUCCGUGCCAGCAGCCGCGGUAAUACGGAGGGUGCAAGCGUUAUCCGGAAUCACUGGGUUUAAAGGGUGCGUAGGCGGUCUGAUAAGUCAGUUGUGAAAUUCCCUCG